UCGGGAAUUUUGGGCAAUGGGCGAAAGCCUGACCCAGCAACGCCGCGUGGACGAUGAAGGUCUUCGGAUCGUAAAGUCCUGUCGAGUGGGAAGAAAUGCAGGAGGGUUAACAGCCUUCCUGCCUGACUGUACCACCAGAGGAAGCCCCGGCUAACUCCGUGCCAGCAGCCGCGGUAAUACGGAGGGGGCAAGCGUUGUUCGGAAUUAUUGGGCGUAAAGGGCGCGUAGGCGGCGAGGUAAGUCAGACGUGAAAUCCCUCGGCUUAACCGAGGAAUUGCGUUUGAUACUGCCAUGCUUGAGGCCAGGAGAGGAGAGUGGAAUUCCCAGUGUAGCGGUGAAAUGCGUAGAUAUUGGGAGAACACCGGUGGCGAAGGCGGCUCUCUGGACUGGUUCUGACGCUGAGGCGCGAAAGCUAGGGGAGCAAACAGGAUUAGAUACCCGCGUAGUCCCUGAGCGGGCUGGCAAGGCG
rnacentral:rRNA from 1 species